rnacentral:rRNA from 1 species
AUUGAACGCUGGCGGCAGGCCUAACACAUGCAAGUCGAGCGAGCGGCGGACGGGUGAGUAAUGUCUGGGAAACUGCCUGCUGUAGGGGGAUAACUACUGGAAACGGUAGCUAAUACCGCAUACCAUCAGAUGUGCCCAGAUGGGAUUAGCUAGUAGGUGGGGUAACGGCUCACCUAGGCGACGAGCCCUAGCUGGUCUGAGCGGAUGACCGGCCCCACUGGAACUGGGACACGGCCCAGACUCCUACGGGAGGCAGCAGUGGGGAAUAUUGCACAAUGGGCGCAAGCCUGAUGCGGCCAUGCCGCGUGUGUGAGAAAGGCCUUCGGGUUGUAAAGCACUUUCAGCGGGGCGGCGUUACCCGCAGAAGAAGCACCGGCUAACUCCGUGCCAGCAGCCGCGGUAAUAC